CAAGUCGAACGCGGUUAGUAGCAAUACUAACUGAGUGGCGAACGGGUGAGUAACACGUGGGUGACCUACCGUCGAGUGGGGGAUAACGUCCCGAAAGGGACGCUAAUACCGCAUAACAUCCUGCCUUUGAACAGGCGGUGAUCAAAGCCGGGGACCGUAAGGCCCGGCGCUUGAUGAGGGGCCCGCGUCUGAUUAGCUAGUUGGUGAGGUAAUGGCCCACCAAGGCGACGAUCAGUAUCCGGCCUGAGAGGGCGGACGGACACACUGGGACUGAGACACGGCCCAGACUCCUACGGGAGGCAGCAGUGGGGAAUUGUUCACAAUGGGCGCAAGCCUGAUGACGCAACGCCGCGUGGAGGAUGAAGGUCUUCGGAUUGUAAACUCCUGUUGCCCGGGACGAAUGGCUCCGACCUAACACGUCGGAGAUUGACGGUACCGGGUGAGGAAGCCCCGGCUAACUCUGUGCCAGCAGCCGCGGUAAUACAGAGGGGGCAAGCGUUGUUCGGAAUUACUGGGCGUAAAGGGCGCGUAGGCGGCCCGCUAAGUCGAACGUGAAAUCCCCGGGCUCAACCCGGGAACUGCGUCCGAUACUGGUGGGCUCGAAUCCGGGAGAGGGAUGCGGAAUUCCAGGUGUAGCGGUGAAAUGCGUAGAUAUCUGGAGGAACACCGGUGGCGAAGGCGGCAUCCUGGACCGGUAUUGACGCUGAGGCGCGAAAGCCAGGGGAGCAAACGGGAUUAGAUACCCCGGUAGUCCUGGCCCUAAACGAUGAAUGCUUGGUGUGGCGGGUAUCGAUCCCUGCCGUGCCGAAGCUAACGCAUUAAGCAUUCCGCCUGGGGAGU
rnacentral:rRNA from 1 species